UACGUAGGGGCUAGCGUUGUCCGGAAUCAUUGGGCGUAAAGAGCGCGUAGGCGGCCAGAUAAGUCCGGUGUGAAAGUCACAGGCUCAACCUGUCGAAUGCCGCUGGAAACUGUCUGGCUAGAGUCCGGGAGGGGCGAGUGGAAUUCCGUGGUGUAGCGGUGAAAUGCGCAGAUAUCUGGAGGAAUACCGGUGGCGAAGGCGGCAUCCUGGACCAUAACUCGGACGCUGAGGCGCGAAAGCUAGGG
rnacentral:rRNA from 1 species